rnacentral:rRNA from 1 species
CCUACGGGUGGCAGCAGUCGAGAAUCAUUCACAAUGGGGGAAACCCUGAUGGUGCGACGCCGCGUGGGGGAAUGAAGGUCUUCGGAUUGUAAACCCCUGUCAUGUGGGAGCAAAUUAAAAAGAUAGUACCACAAGAGGAAGAGACGGCUAACUCUGUGCCAACAGCCGCGGUAAUACAGAGGUCUCAAGCGUUGUUCGGAAUCACUGGGCGUAAAGCGUGCGUAGGCUGUUUCGUAAGUCGUGUGUGAAAGGCGCGGGCUCAACCCGCGGACGGCACAUGAUACUGCGAGACUAGAGUAAGGGAGGGGGAACCGGAAUUCUCGGUGUAGCAGUGAAAUGCGUAGAUAUCGAGAGGAACACUCGUGGCGAAGGCGGGUUCCUGGACAUUAACUGACGCUGAGGCACGAAGGCCAGGGGAGCGAAAGGGAUUAGAUACCCCAGUAGUC